AGCAGCCGCGGUAAUUCCAGCUCCAAUAGCGUAUAUUAAAGUUGUUGCAGUUAAAAAGCUCGUAGUUGAAUUUCGGGAUCAGUAGGUUGGUCAUACCUCUGGUAUGUACUGGUCUCACUGAUUCCUCCCUCUUGAAGAACUGUAAUGUCAUUAAUUUGAUGUUGCGGGGAAUCAGGACUGUUACUUUGAAAAAAUUAGAGUGUUUAAAGCAGGCUCACGCUUGAAUACAUUAGCAUGGAAUAAUGAAAUAGGACGUAUGAUCCUAUUUUGUUGGUUUCUAGGAUUGACGUAAUGAUUAAUAGGGAUAGUUGGGGGCAUUAGUAUUCAAUUGUCAGAGGUGAAAUUCUUGGAUUUAUUGAAGACUAACUACUGCGAAAGCAUUUGCCAAGGAUGUUUUCAUUAAUCAAGAACGAAAGUUAGGGGAUCGAAGACGAUCAGAUACCGUCGUAGUCUUAACCAUAAACUAUGCCGAC
rnacentral:misc_RNA from 1 species